GACGAACGCUGGCGGCGUGCUUAACACAUGCAAGUCGAACGGAAAGGCCCUGCUUUUGUGGGGUUCUCGAGUGGCGAACGUGUGAGUAACACGUGAGUAACCUGCCCUUGACUUUGUGAUAACUUCAGGAAACUGGUGCUAAUACCGAAUAGGAGCUCCUGCUGCAUGGUGGGGGUUGGAAAGUUUAGGCGGUUGGGGAUGGACGCGCGGCUUAUCAGCUUGUUGGGUGGGUAGUGGCUUACCAAGGCUUUGACGGGUAGCCGGCAUGAGAGGGUGACCGGCCACAUUGGGACUGAGAUACGGCCCAGACUCCUACGGGAGGCAGCAGUGGGGAAUAUUGCACAAUGGGCGGAAGCCUGAUGAAGAAACGCCGCGUGCGGGAUGACGGCCUUCGGGUUGUAAACCGCUUUAGCCUGUGACGAAGCGUGAGUGACGGUAAUGGGUAAAGAAGCACCGGCUAACUACGUG
rnacentral:rRNA from 1 species